AGAGUUUGAUCAUGGCUCAGAUUGAACGCUGGCGGCAGGCCUAACACAUGCAAGUCGAACGGUAACAGGAAGAAGCUUGCUUCUUUGCUGACGAGUGGCGGACGGGUGAGUAAUGUCUGGGAAACUGCCUGAUGGAGGGGGAUAACUACUGGAAACGGUAGCUAAUACCGCAUAACGUCGCAAGACCAAAGAGGGGGACCUUCGGGCCUCUUGCCAUCGGAUGUGCCCAGAUGGGAUUAGCUUGUUGGUGGGGUAACGGCUCACCAAGGCGACGAUCCCUAGCUGGUCUGAGAGGAUGACCAGCCACACUGGAACUGAGACACGGUCCAGACUCCUACGGGAGGCAGCAGUGGGGAAUAUUGCACAAUGGGCGCAAGCCUGAUGCAGCCAUGCCGCGUGUAUGAAGAAGGCCUUCGGGUUGUAAAGUACUUUCAGCGGGGAGGAAGGGAGUAAAGUUAAUACCUUUGCUCAUUGACGUUACCCGCAGAAGAAGCACCGGCUAACUCCGUGCCAGCAGCCGCGGUAAUACGGAGGGUGCAAGCGUUAAUCGGAAUUACUGGGCGUAAAGCGCACGCAGGCGGUUUGUUAAGUCAGAUGUGAAAUCCCCGGGCUCAACCUGGGAACUGCAUCUGAUACUGGCAAGCUUGAGUCUCGUAGAGGGGGGUAGAAUUCCAGGUGUAGCGGUGAAAUGCGUAGAGAUCUGGAGGAAUACCGGUGGCGAAGGCGGCCCCCUGGACGAAGACUGACGCUCAGGUGCGAAAGCGUGGGGAGCAAACAGGAUUAGAUACCCUGGUAGUCCACGCCGUAAACGAUGUCGACUUGGAGGUUGUGCCCUUGAGGCGUGGCUUCCGGAGCUAACGCGUUAAGUCGACCGCCUGGGGAGUACGGCCGCAAGGUUAAAACUCAAAUGAAUUGACGGGGGCCCGCACAAGCGGUGGAGCAUGUGGUUUAAUUCGAUGCAACGCGAAGAACCUUACCUGGUCUUGACAUCCACAGAACUUUCCAGAGAUGGAUUGGUGCCUUCGGGAACUGUGAGACAGGUGCUGCAUGGCUGUCGUCAGCUCGUGUUGUGAAAUGUUGGGUUAAGUCCCGCAACGAGCGCAACCCUUAUCCUUUGUUGCCAGCGGUCCGGCCGGGAACUCAAAGGAGACUGCCAGUGAUAAACUGGAGGAAGGUGGGGAUGACGUCAAGUCAUCAUGGCCCUUACGACCAGGGCUACACACGUGCUACAAUGGCGCAUACAAAGAGAAGCGACCUCGCGAGAGCAAGCGGACCUCAUAAAGUGCGUCGUAGUCCGGAUUGGAGUCUGCAACUCGACUCCAUGAAGUCGGAAUCGCUAGUAAUCGUGGAUCAGAAUGCCACGGUGAAUACGUUCCCGGGCCUUGUACACACCGCCCGUCACACCAUGGGAGUGGGUUGCAAAAGAAGUAGGUAGCUUAACCUUCGGGAGGGCGCUUACCACUUUGUGAUUCAUGACUGGGGUGAAGUCGUAACAAGGUAACCGUAGGGGAACCUGCGGUUGGAUCACCU
rnacentral:rRNA from 22 species